UACAGAGGGUGCGAGCGUUAAUCGGAAUUACUGGGCGUAAAGCGCACGUAGGUGGCGACGUAAGUCGGGUGUGAAAGCCCCGGGCUCAACCUGGGAAUUGCAUUCGAGACUGCAUUUCUGGAGUACGGAAGAGGAAGGCGGAAUUCCCGGUGUAGCGGUGAAAUGCGUAGAUAUCAGGAAGAACACCGAUGGCGAAGGCAGCUCUCUGGGACGGUACUGACGCUGAGACGCGAAAGCGUGGGGAGCAAACAGG
rnacentral:rRNA from 1 species